AAAUAGCCCCGAUUGAAGUGGAAAUCCUUUUAUUUUUUCUUUAAAAAAUAAAAGAUUGAAGCGAAAAGCGGGAAUUUAU
rnacentral:sRNA from 2 species